rnacentral:sRNA from 1 species
UCUUCAUAUGCCAUUUACUUGCCUCGGGUGUGGAGAUCUCUUGUAUUUCUAAGAUAUACUUUGGACCACAGAUCUUAUAAACUGUAUUUCAUGCAGUGCUGGGCUUGGUUCUUCUUGAGGCAGCAGAGGGGGAAGACCGUCAGCAGAGGGUAGAUUAUAACCACCUCAGAGAAUCCUCAAGCUGAAGGAAGAGAAUUCUAAACAGACAAUGCUUGUCACGUCUCUGGGAAGCCAGGAAACUAGAAAUGAACUGCUCAAGAAGUCGGAUGCUUAAGAAAACCCAAGCCUGAAGCUGCAGCCCAGUGACAUAUACGUGGACAAGGCUCUAAGGUCGAUCCUUGCAGUGCCCAGAUAAAUAAUAAGUAAACGCUGGCAGGAAACAUAAAUCCUCAAGCCUGUCCAUGAUGCGCUCUCAGCCUGCCCCUACGCCAGCCACUAAAAGCACACACCCAAACCUACUCUUCGUUCCUGGCAUUCUGGGACAGUUUAUGUAUCCACACUCUCCUUAGAAGUCCUCUGUACAGGCAAACAAUAAACUUUCCAAUUCUCUUGGUGUGUAGCGUCACUAGUCCUGCUGUUUGGUUUAUUGGGGAUGGGGGUUUUCUCCUCUUUUUUGAAGCUUACACAAAAUGGAACAAAGUAAAGCCACUAUAGCUGACCACGGGAUGAGAUGUGCUGUAGGGAAUGACUAUGUAUUCAGACAACGAUCUACAGGAAGGUAGUGUUGGGACAAAUGAUUAGCCAUAAGCAUCAGCUCUGGCUGGA